rnacentral:rRNA from 1 species
GACGAACGCUGGCGGCGUGCCUAAUACAUGCAAGUCGAACGCUGAAGGAGGAGCUUGCUUCUCCGGAUGAGUUGCGAACGGGUGAGUAACGCGUAGGUAACCUGCCUGGUAGCGGGGGAUAACUAUUGGAAACGAUAGCUAAUACCGCAUAAGAGUAGAUGUCGCAUGACAUUUGCUUAAAAGGUGCAACUGCACCACUACCAGAUGGACCUGCGUUGUAUUAGCUAGUUGGUGAGGUAACGGCUCACCAAGGCAACGAUACAUAGCCGACCUGAGAGGGUGAUCGGCCACAAUGGGACUGAGACACGGCCCAGACUCCUACGGGAGGCAGCAGUAGGGAAUCUUCGGCAAUGGACGGAAGGCUGACCGAGCAACGCCGCGGGAGUGAAGAAGGGUUUCGGAUCGGAAAGCUCUGUUGUAAGAGAAGAACGAGUGUGAGAGUGGAAAGUUCACACUGUGACGGUAGCUGAACAGAAAGGGACGGCUAACUACGUG